rnacentral:rRNA from 1 species
GACGUAGGGCGCGAGCGUUGUCCGGAUUUAUUGGGCGUAAAGAGCUCGUAGGCGGCUUGUCGCGUCGACUGUGAAAUCCCGCGGCUCAACUGCGGGUCUGCAGUCGAUACGGGCAGGCUAGAGUUCGGUAGGGGAGACUGGAAUUCCUGGUGUAGCGGUGAAAUGCGCAGAUAUCAGGAGGAACACCAGUGGCGAAGGCGGCUCACUGGCUCGAUACUGACGCUGAGGUGCGAAAGCGUGGGGAGCAAACAGG